UACGGGGGGGGCAAGCGUUGUUCGGAAUUACUGGGCGUAAAGGGCUCGUAGGCGGCCAACUAAGUCGGACGUGAAAUCCCUCGGCUUAACCGGGGAACUGCGUCCGAUACUGGAUGGCUUGAGUUCGGGAGGGGGAUGGAAUUCCGCGUGUAGCAGUGAAAUGCGUAGAUAUGCGGAGGAACACCGAUGGCGAAGGCAAUCCCCUGGGCCUGCACUGACGCUCAUGCACGAAAGCGUGGGGAGCAAACAGG
rnacentral:rRNA from 1 species